rnacentral:tRNA from 4 species
GCCACCGUAGCUCAGCCGGUGGAGCGCCACCUUGGUAAGGUGGAGGUCCCGGGUUCGAUUCCCGGCGGUGGCU